rnacentral:rRNA from 1 species
GAGUUUGAUCCUGGCUCAGGAUGAACGCUAGCGGCAGGCUUAAUACAUGCAAGUCGAGGGGCAGCAGCUUUAUAGCAAUAUAGAGGCUGGCGACCGGCAAACGGGUGCGGAACACGUACACAACCUUCCUUGAAUAGGGGGAUAGCCCAUAGAAAUGUGGAUUAAUACCCCGUAAUAUAGCGGUGUGGCAUCACACUGUUAUUAUAGUUUCGGCGAUUCGAGAUGGGUGUGCGGCUGAUUAGGUAGUUGGCGGGGUAAAGGCCCACCAAGCCUUCGAUCAGUAGCUGAUGUGAGAGCAUGAUCAGCCACACGGGCACUGAGACACGGGCCCGACUCCUACGGGAGGCAGCAGUAAGGAAUAUUGGUCAAUGGACGCAAGUCUGAACCAGCCAUGCCGCGUGAAGGAUGAAGGUCCUCUGGAUUGUAAACUUCUUUUAUAGGGGGCGAAAAAAGGUCUUUCUAGAUCACUUGACAGUACCCUAUGAAUAAGCACCGGCUAGCUCCGUGCCAGCAGCCGCGGUAAUACGGAGGGUGCAAGCGUUAUCCGGAUUCACUGGGUUUAAAGGGUGCGUAGGCGGGUAGGUAAGUCAGAGGUGAWAUCCUGGAGCUUAACUCCAGAACUGCCUUUGAUACUAUCUAUCUUGAAUAUGGUGGAGGUAAGCGGAAUAUGUCAUGUAGCGGUGAAUGCAUAGAUAUGACAUAAACACCUAUUGCGAAGCASCUUACUACUYCUAUAUUGACSCUGAGCACGAAGCKUGGGGAUCAAACGGAUU